UCUCCGUUGGUGAACCAGCGGAGGGAUCAUUACAGAGUUGCAAAACUCCCAAACCCUUGUGAACAUACCCGUUACAGUUGCUUCGGUGGGCGGCCCCAGGGCGGGGCCGCAGCCUCUUCUCACGAGGCGCCCGCCGGAGGUAUAUAACUCUUUGUAUAUGGUCUCUCUGAGUAAAUUUAUAAUAAGUCAAAACUUUUAACAACGGAUCUCUUGGUUCUG
rnacentral:misc_RNA from 1 species